GUAGGUGGCAAGCGUUGCCGGGUAAUUAUUGGGGCGUAAAGCGCGCGCAGGCGGUUCUUUAAGUCUGAUGUGAAAGCCCACGGCUCAACCGUGGAGGGUCAUUGGAAACUGGAGAACUUGAGUACAGAAGAGGAAAGCGGAAUUCCACGUGUAGCGGUGAAAUGCGUAGAGAUGUGGAGGAACACCAGUGGCGAAGGCGGCUUUCUGGUCUGUAACUGACGCUGAGGCGCGAAAGCGUGGGGAGCAAACAGGAUUAGAUACCCUGGUAGUCCACGCCGUAAACGAUGAGUGCUAAGUGUUAGGGGGUUUCCGCCCCUUAGUGCUGCAGCUAACGCAUUAAGCACUCCGCCUGGGGAGUACGGCCGCAAAGGCUG
rnacentral:rRNA from 1 species